GAGAUACUCCCUCCGUCCGAAAAUACUUGUCAUCAAAAUGAAUAAAAAGGGAUGUAUCUAGAUGUAUUUUAGUUCUAGAUACAUCCUUUUUUAUUCAUUUUGAUGACAAGUAUUUUCAGACGGAGGGAGUAUGUC
rnacentral:pre_miRNA from 1 species